GGUGAGUCGACCCCUAAGGCGAGGCCGAAAGGCGUAGUCGAUGGGAAACGGGUUAAUAUUCCCGUACUUGGUGUUACUGCGAAGGGGGGACGGAGAAGGCUAUGUUGGCCGGGCGACGGUUGUCCCGGUUUAAGCGUGUAGGUGUGUGUUCCAGGUAAAUCCGGUUCACUUUAACACUGAGGCGUGACGACGAGGCACUACGGUGCUGAAGCAACAAAUGCCCUGCUUCCAGGAAAAGCCUCUAAGCAUCAGGUAACAUCAAAUCGUACCCCAAACCGACACAGGUGGUCAGGUAGAGAAUACCAAGGCGCUUGAGAGAACUCGGGUGAAGGAACUAGGCAAAAUGGUGCCGUAACUUCGGGAGAAGGCACGCUGACACGUAGGUGAAGUGAUUUACUCAUGGAGCUGAAGUCAGUCGAAGAUACCAGCUGGCUGCAACUGUUUAUUAAAAACACAGCACUGUGCAAACACGAAAGUGGACGUAUACGGUGUGACGCCUGCCCGGUGCCGGAAGGUUAAUUGAUGGGGUCAGCGCAAGCGAAGCUCCUGAU
rnacentral:rRNA from 1 species